CAUUGAUUUAAAAAGUAUUUGUUGUGGUGAUUUUACAUUCAAAGCUUAUUCUUUUAGAGUCAUCGUCAGUCACUUAUUGCGCCGCAAAUGAAAUUAUAAACUAAAUAUUAUAUUCUAUACGCCUGAGACUCCUUGCAAUCGCGGCCAUAAACCAAGGUCAUACUCUAAGGUUGGGCCGUAGGUACGCAUUAUUUAUCGAUUGUUUUCGACACAGUUGUUGAUUGAGAUUUUUGAGGAGCCGGUCUCUAUGAAGCCUUACUUAAACACAAAAAUAAUUCUUUGCUUUUUCAAUACAAUUAGGUACUAGUAAUUAGAGUUAUCUAUAGGCGCAUCACUAACAUCUCCCGGAAGGCUGGUAAGAGCACAAUAUCUGAAUCAACGUCUUUCCCUCGUUUUAUGGCCGCGACUGCCACGAGUCUUAUCAUAGUGGUGUCAUGAAUAUGUUUAUUUGAAAGAAAGAAAGAAAGAAAAUUAAUUUAUUCAUCUUGUGCUUAAGUAAAUUAUUCGUGUUGUUUAUAAGUACUUAAUACUUAAUAAUAACUUCUUGCACCCACAUGGCACAAGAUGAAAAGGCCCCGGCUCAGCAGGUUUUAAAAUAUAACCUGAGCGCUGGUAUUCUGCCGGGACCAAGAGGAGUGACGCGCAGGAGUUCAAUAGUUAACAGUUAAAAUAAAAUAAAUAGUUAAUGUACAUAGUGAUAACAGUGUGUAAAUAGAAAUCUUGAAAACUUGGAGAGAGGAAGCUGUUCAUAAUAAUAUGAACUUAGCAACGUAGUUACAAACGGAAACUUUGCUACAAUUUUUUUUUGGUACAAUUUUUGAUACUGCUCCUAAAGAAAAUGAUGGCAUUGCUAGAAAUUUUGCCCCAAAAGAGGACACAAAUUACAAAGGACUAUCAGAGACAAAUUACAGGGGAUAUCCUGCAAUAAAUGACGUAAAUCUAUACGACGAAUAUGAGCCAGAAUGAAUUGCUGCAACUCUGAAAGUGAAUCCAAAAACUUUACGAGCUAUUUAUUAUACCAACGUUCGAAGAGGCAAGGCGCGAACUCUUUACUGGUUCUUGCUUGCCUGGACAAUAUCGAACUGAAGAUGGUAGAUGUGUAGAAAAGUUUUGAACAUUACUUUGUAAAUCUAAAUGUUUUUUUU